GUCGAACGCUGGCGGCGUGCCUAAUACAUGCAAGUCGAACGAGUGGCGGCCGGGUGAGCACACGUUGGUAACCUACCCAUCAGAGGGGGAUAACACAUGGAAACAGGUGCUAAUACCGCAUAGAUGGAUGGACCCGCGGUGCAUUAGCUAGUUGGCGAGGUAACGGCUAACCAAGGCCACGAUGCAUAGCCGGCCUGAGAGGAUGAUCAGCCACACUGGGACUGAGACACGGUCCAGACUCCUACGGGAGGCAGCAGUGGGGAAUAUUGCACAAUGGGCGCAAGCCUGAUGCAGCCAUGCCGCGUGUAUGAAGAAGGCCUUCGGGUUGUAAAGUACUUUCAGCGGGGAGGCGUUACCCGCAGAAGAAGCACCGGCUAACUCCGUGCCAGCCGCCGCGGUAAUUC
rnacentral:rRNA from 1 species